AUUAAAUCCUGAACUGAAGUCUAUCAACAGCAUUUGAACGUAUUUGUCCUUUUUGUCCAUGUGGGUGAGGGCCAGAUGGAGAGUGGUGGCGAUGGCGUCGUCUGUUGAGUGCCUGGGACAAUACGCGAACUGCAGGGGGUCCAGUGAGGGGGACAGCAGCAUCUUAAUGUGUCUCAUGAUGAGCAUCUCAAAGCACUUCAUGACGAUGGAUUUGAGUGCGACGGGACAGUAGUCACUGACAGGACACGGGAGACUUCAGCACGGGGACAACAAUUACCUCCCAAUCAGUCUCCACAAUGGUUCAUGAUAAGUGCAAUCAAGAGACCAAGAAACCACUCAGCACCAAAUCCAAACAAACUGGAGGAAAAACAGUGGACAACCAUGUAAUCUCACAUCCCUGCAACCCAGUGAACACCAGCAGCUUUCUGGAUGUGCCACGAGAACUGGUAAUGCAGAGAUAAACAAUUUCUGGAAGCUGCUGUGUAAAGUCCUGCUCCAUCCAGUGUUGUACAAGGGAUGGAGUAUCUGCCUGCUGUCCACUAUCAGGUCUCCAAACAAGUGCCAACAUGGAUAUCAGAAUAGCUAUAACCUCUGUAAAUGGCCCAACUUCAACCAACCGAAGUCGAAGUUGAGAUUUAAUGCAGACUUUCAGGUGUUGAU